GACUUGAGAAGAUUAAGGUGUGGAGGGAAGUAAAUAAUGGAGAAUGGCUUCACAUCCCAUCAGACAACAGGCCUUUCUCUGUCUUUAAUGGCGCCAUCGGGCUGACAAGCGCGCCGCUGCUGUUGUGCAAUAUUGACGAGGGGAGAGCAACAGAGGGAGGAGGUUAGCGCGCGAGCGCACGAGCGCCUGUCACUGCGCCGCGGUGACGGCUCUGCUCCUUCAUGUCGCCGCCUCACCUUCCUGCACGCGCCGCCGCAGCUUCCGGUGACCUUCCUAACGAGGGCUGCGGCAGCGCCGGCCCACGCGCGCGCUCGCGCGUGCGUAACUUUGGCUUGAAGAGGAGCGAGGAGUUGGAUUUGAUUGAGAGAGGAACAGACAAGAGAGGCAAGGAAGGAGCAAACAAGCGCGGCGACAGAGGAGCUGCUUUGUCACAGCAUUUGCUUUCGACGUCCAUCCCUGUCACAACGGCUCCGGUGCCAAACAUGCGGCACCGCCACCGCAGGGUGACAGCAGCACGUCCUCCUUGUCACCACGUCAGGGGUUAAAUUGGGAUCUGCGGGGACGGGGAGCACCUGUCCAGCGAGCCUACGCCGAGGUCCACGGGUCACACUGUCAAGAGCUCUCAAACUAUCCACAGGAAGUUGAUGCGGACUGUCCAAAAUAAAACAGCUCGGUUUCCACAAACUGGAAGCUGCUUAAAUAACUUUGCACUUCUCCUCCCAUCUCCACCCUGAGUGAACGAAGGAUGCUGUUCCCAUGGUGAUAUCAGUCAGUCCAGCUCUGAGUGAUUACUAAUAUUUAAUACUGUAACACUACUGCUGGAUGUUAAUGUCUCUAUAUAUGGCGCCACAUAUCUUCAGACAUCUGGACUCUUUCUGACCUCGGACCAAGGGUCCAAAGCGAUGCUGGCGUUUGAUAAAGGAAUGAAGAAUAGUGGAGAGAGGAAGUAGGUUUCCCUGAGGAAAAGCUAAUGACUGGCACUCACUCAACCUUUCACCAUGAGGUCGACUGUAGGUCUUAAUAAAAGCCUGAGCAACUGCC